CACGGGUGAGUAACACGUAUCCAACCUGCCGCUUACUCGGGGAUAGCCUUUCGAAAGAAAGAUUAAUACCCGAUGGUAUAAAGAGUUCGCAUGUUCUCUUUAUUAAAGAAUUUCGGUAAGCGAUGGGGAUGCGUUCCAUUAGAUAGUUGGCGGGGUAACGGCCCACCAAGUCUACGAUGGAUAGGGGUUCUGAGAGGAAGGUCCCCCACAUUGGAACUGAGACACGGUCCAAACUCCUACGGGAGGCAGCAGUGAGGAAUAUUGGUCAAUGGACGCGAGUCUGAACCAGCCAAGUAGCGUGAAGGAUGACUGCCCUAUGGGUUGUAAACUUCUUUUAUAAGGGAAUAAAGUGAGGGACGUGUUCCCUUUUUGUAUGUACCUUAUGAAUAAGGAUCGGCUAACUCCGUGCCAGCCGCUGC
rnacentral:rRNA from 1 species